CGAGGAACAUGACCUUCGGCUGGGGAUAGCCGGCCCAACGGCCGGGUAAUACCGCGUACGACCACAUGGGGACAUCCCUGAGUGGUGAAAGCAGCAAUGCGCCGAUGGAGUGCCUCGCGGCCUAUCAGCUAGUUGGUGAGGUAACGGCUCACCAAGGCGACGACGGGUAGUUGGUCUGAGAGGAUGGCCAGCCACAUUGGGACUGAGACACGGCCCAGACCUCUACGGGAG
rnacentral:rRNA from 1 species